rnacentral:misc_RNA from 1 species
GUUGUGUGUGUGGGUUGUGUGGGUGGAGAACGGGAAGGGAAGGGGAGGAGAGGGAAUUGAAAGUUUAGGCAGUAGUCACUCCAUGUUUCUGUUGUCUUAUAUAUAGUUACAGAGUUAUUCAAAAUUAUAAAACUUGCUCAAAUAAUUAGAAAAAAUGCACAACAAAGUGAACAUGAAAAAGGAAAAAAGGCAGGAAGAAACAACAAAAAAAGAUCUAUCUUGAAGAAAAUUCACGAAGUAGAGUAUUAUAUGAGCUCCCUUUCAUUUUUAAGGUAAUUCUACAAAUUUCUAGACUUGAAAUGUAACAAAAUGAAUGAAUUUCUCCAAACAACAACAAAGCCUUACUCCCAAACUAGUUGGAGUUAGCUA